UCAUAAAAAUUUAUAAUAGAAUUUUAUUUUUUAGUCAAAAAGCUAAAAUAUAUUUAAAAGACGAGAAGACCCUAUAAAUCUUUAUAUUUAAAUUAUUAUAAUUUUAUAGAUUUAUUUUGUUAUAAUAGUUGAUAAUAUUUUAUUGGGGUGAUAUUAAAAUUUAAUAAACUUUUAAUUGUUUAAAUCAUUAAUUUAUGAAUAAUUGAUCCGUUAUUAGCGAUUAAAAAAAUAAGUUACUUUAGGGAUAACAGCGUAAUUUUUUUGGAGAGUUCAUAUCGAUAAAAAAGAUUGCGACCUCGAUGUUGGAUUAAGAUAUAAUUUUAGGUGUAGCCGCUUAAAUUUUAAGUCUGUUCGACUUUUAAAUUCUUACAUGAUCUGAGUUCAAACCGGCGUAAGCCAGGUUGGUUUCUAUCUUUAAAAA
rnacentral:rRNA from 1 species